rnacentral:snRNA from 1 species
UCUUGGUUCGGCAGAACAUACUAAAAUUGGAACGAUACAGAGAAGAUCAUCAUGGCCCCUGCGCAAGAAUGACACGCAUUAUGAAACAUAUUAUU